rnacentral:snRNA from 1 species
AUGCUUGCUUUGGCAGCACAUAUACUGAAAUUGGAACACUAGAGAAGAUUAGCAUGGCCCCUGAGCAAGGAAGACAUUCAAAUUUGUGAAGCAUUUCAUAUUUUU